GAGGGUAUAGGUCAGCUGCAGAACACAUACUUAGCAUGCAUGAGGUCCUGGGUGCAAUCCCCAGUACCUCCA
rnacentral:tRNA from 1 species